AGUGAACGCUGGCGGUAGGCCUAACACAUGCAAGUCGAACGGCAGCACAGUAAGAGCUUGCUCUUACGGGUGGCGAGUGGCGGACGGGUGAGGAAUACAUCGGAAUCUACUUUUUCGUGGGGGAUAACGUAGGGAAACUUACGCUAAUACCGCAUACGACCUCCGGGUGAAAGCAGGGGAUCUUCGGACCUUGCGCGAUUGAAUGAGCCGAUGUCGGAUUAGCUAGUUGGCGGGGUAAAGGCCCACCAAGGCGACGAUCCCUAGCUGGUGUGAGAGGAUGAUCAGCGACACUGGAACUGAGACACGGUCCAGACUCCUACGGGAGGCAGCAGUGGGGAAUAUUGGACAAUGGGCGCAAGCCUGAUCCAGCCAUGCCGCGUGGGUGAAGAAGGCCUUCGGGUUGUAAAGCCCUUUUGUUGGGAAAGAAAAGCAGCAGGUUAAUACCCCGCUGUUCUGACGGUACCCAAAGAAUAAGCACCGGCUAACUUCGUG
rnacentral:rRNA from 1 species